AGAGAGUGCUUCUUAGACAAAUGAGCUUUCCUGAUCUCAAAGCUACAAUAAGAGGACCUAAAAGUCAAAGAAAAUAAAGACAGAAUGUUUCACUGGCCACUGGCACUUGGCCAGGAUGCAGAGACUCUACAGUGGCAACACCUGACAGCCAAAAGUCCGCCAGUCUUACCGCCUGUUUCUCCACCAGGGGAGUGGAGCCACGGGUUGUUGCCUGGAGCCUGGCCACAACUUCCUUUUCCCAUCUGAAUAAGCCACUCAGCUUUUGUAAAUGUUGGCCACCAAUAAUUAGGAUAAGUGGAAACCCAGAUCUUAAAGUAUAACUCAAUUGAACUCAACUGAAUCCUCCUUGAACUCUGCUUUGGUAUCCUAAACUAAUAAAG
rnacentral:lncRNA from 1 species